rnacentral:rRNA from 1 species
GACGAACGCUGGCGGCGUGCUUAACACAUGCAAGUCGAACGGAAAGGCCCUGCUUUUGUGGGGUGCUCGAGUGGCGAACGGGUGAGUAACACGUGAGUAACCUGCCCUUGACUUUGGGAUAACUUCAGGAAACUGGGGCUAAUACCGGCUAGGAGCUCCUGCUGCAUGGUGGGGGUUGGAAAGUUUCGGCGGUUGGGGAUGGACUCGCGGCUUAUCAGCUUGUUGGUGGGGUAGUGGCUUACCAAGGUUUUGACGGGUAGCCGGCCUGAGAGGGUGACCGGCCACAUUGGGACUGAGAUACGGCCCAGACUCCUACGGGAGGCAGCAGUGGGGAAUAUUGCACAAUGGGCGGAAGCCUGAUGCAGCAACGCCGCGUGCGGGAUGACGGCCUUCGGGUUGUAAACCGCUUUCGCCUGUGACGAAGCGUGAGUGACGGUAAUGGGUAAAGAAGCACCGGCUAACUACGUG